rnacentral:rRNA from 1 species
GACGAACGCUGGCGGCGUGCUUAACACAUGCAAGUCGAACGGAAAGGCCCUGCUUUUGUGGGGUGCUCGAGUGGCGAACGGGUGAGUAACACGUGAGUAACCUGCCCUUGACUUUGGGAUAACUUCAGGAAACUGGGCUAAUUCCGGAAAAGGACUUCCUCUGGCUGGGUGGGGGUGGGAAGUUUCCGGCGGUGGGGGAUGGACUCGCGGCUUAUCAGCUUGUUGGUGGGGUAGUGGCUUACCAAGGCUUUGACGGGUAGCCGGCCUGAGAGGGUGACCGGCCACAUUGGGACUGAGAUACGGCCCAGACUCCUACGGGAGGCAGCAGUGGGGAAUAUUGCACAAUGGGCGGAAGCCUGAUGCAGCAACGCCGCGUGCGGGAUGACGGCCUUCGGGUUGUAAACCGCUUUCGCCUGUGACGAAGCGUGAGUGACGGUAAUGGGUAAAGAAGCACCGGCUAACUACGUG